GCCGAAGUGGUGGAAUGGUAGACACAAGGGACUUAAAAUCCCUCGGAGUUCGCUCUGUACCGGUUCGAGUCCGGUCUUCGGUACCA
rnacentral:tRNA from 1 species